UACGGGGGGGAGCAAGCGUUGUUCGGAUUUACUGGGCGUAAAGGGCGCGUAGGCGGCCACCGCAAGUCAGUUGUGAAAUCUCUGGGCUUAACCCAGAAAGGUCAACUGAUACUGCGGGGCUAGAGUGCAGAAGGGGGCAACUGGAAUUCUCGGUGUAGCGGUGAAAUGCGCAGAUAUCAGGAGGAACACCGGUGGCGAAGGCGGGUCUCUGGGCCGUAACUGACGCUGAGGAGCGAAAGCAUGGGGAGCGAACAGG
rnacentral:rRNA from 1 species